UCUUUUUACUUUUGCUAAUGGAAUUCCUCUCUCGUCCUCUGACCGCCGCGCCAACGGGUGUGAAUUCAAGCUGUCCAAGGACAGAGAACAGCGUGAAAAAGAGCAGCACAAGUGACCUCCAUAAUUUUAACCAUGAGGUAUGUACCCGCUGAACAAUCAGAGGAGUUGCUUCAUUCCUAUGGACCCCGAAUCAGAAUCCAGCAUAUAUACAUUUUAUACUAAUACAUUUCAUUACAGUACUAAUUAAAUGUUACCUGUUAACCUUGUGGAAGCAGGGAAAGAAAGAGGGGGUUUAAAUGCAGCCAUUUAAGUGUCAGAGACAGAACAACUGUUCUGUCAAGUCUUAGCCUAAUAUUGCGAGACCUGUAAAAGCCGGGCUCACGUCAGAAGCGAGUGGAAAACAGCAGAAUAGUCAGUGUGACCCAGCCUUGAGAUAACGCUGUUUUUGAGAAGAGAAAGUGAGAAAAUACUGGAAUAGAUAGCAAAGAGUCUAAAUAAAAUAGAGAUGUUUUUAAUUAAUGCACAUCACAAAGAGGUAUAAAUGCUUGUGUGAUUUUGCUUGUACUUUGGAGAAACUGAGGCAGAGAUGCUCUCUGCCAGCUGUGUUCUUCCCCUGCAAUUGCUUGAAUAAAGCUGUCUCUGAUUUUGUUGCUUCCGACCUGAGAGUGGAGUUUUGUUUCUUCCACAACCUGAAACCAUGGGCGGAGACAUUAUGUAACCUUUGACUGUUGGCUACUGUGCUUGUCUUGUCUUGCUUCUAGACCUAUCCAGAGGUUUGGGAUUACCUACCCCGUCAUUUCCCUCUGCCCAUGGAAAAUCCAUAUAAUCCAUGGUAAUCAACUGAUUGACAGUGACUCUGAGCCUAAUAAGCCAGGCGACACUCCGCCAGCGCUGUGUGUAAUAAACUCCUGUGCUUGACUUCUA